GCCGUCAAUGGGGUCGCACAGAGUCGGACACGACUGAAGUGACUUAGCAGCAGCAGCAGAGGUUCUUGUUCUCAUCUAAGUGAUUACGGUGUGAUCAGUAAACUUCCACCUCUAUUCAAGAUUGAGGGCUCCUGCAGAGGGCAAGAGGCAUUCCAGGAACAUCGUGGGAUCACACUGCCUCUCACAUCCUCCCAGGACCCUGAGCCCCAAAAACAACCCAGCCUUGGGACCCUAGCCUGCCCAGUCUCCAGAGAUGUGAUACCAGCCAAGUGACUUUUAUCUCUUAAUUUCUACUUCAAUCUGGCAACACCCACAACAGAAUCCCCACAGGCAUCCAUUAGUUUCUGGAUUUGUGAGUCUCUUUCUGCUUCACAGUGCCAUCCUGCCUCCCACUGCUUAACAAGAUCCUUGAGCUUGAUGGGCCCAGAAAAUCUCAUCUUGGCUUCUUUGGAAUCAACACUGGCAUGCCUGCCAGACUUCAUGCCAUGGAAUGAGCUCUGGUCCUUAAAUAGCUGAUCCCAACUGGGAUUCCAGCUGCAAUUUACAGAUCAUUUAGGCAACUGUGGGAAAACAGGAGAAUGGACAGUAUGUCUGAGGAGCUUCCUCUGCUCAUGACUGAAGGGGAAUCAGAUUUGAACCUGGUACCUGAAGAUGGAGGAGGCCACCUGGAAGGAACAAAGAGCAGCCGCAAGGGGCUGAGAAGGAUCCCUGGCCAACAGGAAAUGAGGAUCCCAGUCCUGCAACCAUAAGGAACUGAAACCUGCCAACAGCAGUAACGAACUAGGAAGAGGAUCCCAAAUGCCAGAUCACAGCAGUUGGAAACUUUGAUUUCACCCUUGAAGUCUUCUCCAGCUGGAGCCAGAGUCAGCCCAGAAGCAAAGGAGCUGAAGCCCAUGGAGCUGUGGUGAAGGAAGUGGCCCAUAUGGGAGUCAGCCACAACAGUCAACAUAUUUGCAAUUAACUUUUGCAGUUUCCACCUUGUAGGCCCAGACCCAAUAAAUAAAUAGAAAA